rfam:Ciona savignyi cont_41541, whole genome shotgun sequence.
UACCUGGUUGAUCCUGCCAGUAGUCAUAUGCUUGUCUCAAAGAUUAAGCCAUGCAAGUCUAAGUACGAGCUCUCGUACAGUGAAACUGCGAAUGGCUCAUUAAAUCAGUUAUGGUUCAUUUGAUCGUACAGUUUACUUGGAUAACUGUGGUAAUUCUAGAGCUAAUACAUGCGAGAAGCGCCGACCUCGCGGGAGGCGUGCAUUUAUCAGACCAAAAACCGGCCGCGUCUUCGGGCGCGUUCGCCUUGGUGACUCUGGAUAACUUUGCGGAUCGCACGGUCUAGCACCGGCGACGGAUCAUUCAAGUGUCUGCCCUAUCAACUUUCGUCGGUACGGUAUUUGCCUACCGAGGUUCUUACGGGUGACGGGGAAUCAGGGUUCGAUUCCGGAGAGGGAGCCUGAGAAACGGCUACCACAUCCAAGGAAGGCAGCAGGCGCGCAAAUUACCCAUUCCCGACGCGGGGAGGUAGUGACGAAAAAUAACAAUGCAGGACUCGUUCGAGGCCCUGUAAUUGGAAUGAGUACACUUUAAAAGCUUUAACGAGUAUCCAUUGGAGGGCAAGUCUGGUGCCAGCAGCCGCGGUAAUUCCAGCUCCAAAAGUAUAUAUUUAAGUUGUUGCGGUUAAAAAGCUCGUAGUUGGAUUUUGGGCGCAGGCGGCGGGUCCGUCGCAAGGCGUGUACUGGACGUCCUGGCCUUCCCUCCGGUUCUCCGCCGGUGCUCUUGACUGAGUGUCGGCGGCGGCCGGAACGUUUACUUUGAAAAAAUUAGAGUGUUCAAAGCAGGCUCUCGAGCCUGGAUAAUGGUGCAUGGAAUAAUGGAAUAGGACCUCGGUUCUAUUUUGUUGGUUUUCGGAGCGCGAGGUAAUGAUUAAGAGGGACAGACGGGGGCAUUCGUACUGUGCCGUUAGAGGUGAAAUUCUUGGAUCGGCGCAAGACGAACGACUGCGAAAGCAUUUGCCAAGAAUGUUUUCUUUAAUCAAGAGCGAAAGUCAGAGGUUCGAAGACGAUCAGAUACCGUCCUAGUUCUGACUAUAAACGAUGCCAACUAGCGAUCGGGGGGCGUUACAUUGACGACCCCUCCGGCAGCUUACGGGAAACCAAAGUCUUUGGGUUCCGGGGGAAGUAUGGUUGCAAAGCUGAAACUUAAAGGAAUUGACGGAAGGGCACCACCAGGAGUGGAGCCUGCGGCUUAAUUUGACUCAACACGGGAAAUCUCACCCGGCCCGGACACAGUGAGGAUUGACAGAUUGAGAGCUCUUUCUUGAUUCUGUGGGUGGUGGUGCAUGGCCGUUCUUAGUUGGUGGAGCGAUUUGUCUGGUUAAUUCCGAUAACGAACGAGACUCUGGCUU